rnacentral:rRNA from 1 species
UACGUAGGGGGCAAGCGUUGUCCGGAAUCAUUGGGCGUAAAGAGCGUGUAGGCGGCUUGGUAAGUCGGCUGUGAAAGUCCAGGGCUCAACCCUGGAAUGCCGGUGGAAACUGGCAAGCUUGAGUCCGGAAGAGGCGAGUGGAAUUCCUGGUGUAGCGGUGAAAUGCGCAGAUAUCAGGAGGAACACCAAUGGCGAAGGCAGCUCGCUGGGACGGUACUGACGCUGAGACGCGAAAGCGUGGGGAGCGAACAGG